rnacentral:rRNA from 1 species
AAUGGUCACUACACGGACUAUGCGGGCAGCUUCCCCGGGGAAACCAGAGUUUUUGGACUCCGGGGGAAGUAUGGUUGCAAAGCUGAAACUUAAAGGAAUUGACGGAAGGGCACCACCAGGAGUGGAGCUUGCGGCUUAAUUUGACUCAACACGGGACAACUCACCAGGCCCGGACACCGUAAGGAUUGACAGACUGAUAGCUCUCUCUUGAUUCAGUGGGUGGUGGUGCAUGGCCGUUCUUAGUUGGUGGAGUGAUUUGUCUGGUUUAUUCCGAUAACGAACGAGACUCUGGCCUAUUAAACUUGAC